rnacentral:rRNA from 1 species
AGACUGGGAUAACUCCGGGAAACCGGGGCUAAUACCGGAUGGUUGUUUGAACCGCAUGGUUCAGACAUAAAAGGUGGCUUCGGCUACCACUUACAGAUGGACCCGCGGCGCAUUAGCUAGUUGGUGAGGUAACGGCUCACCAAGGCAACGAUGCGUAGCCGACCUGAGAGGGUGAUCGGCCACACUGGGACUGAGACACGGCCCAGACUCCUACGGGAGGCAGCAGUAGGGAAUCUUCCGCAAUGGACGAAAGUCUGACGGAGCAACGCCGCGUGAGUGAUGAAGGUUUUCGGAUCGUAAAGCUCUGUUGUUAGGGAAGAACAAGUGCCGUUCAAAUAGGGCGGCACCUUGACGGUACCUAACCAGAAAGCCACGGCUAACUACGUGCCAGCAGCCGCGGUAAUACGUAGGUGGCAAGCGUUGUCCGGAAUUAUUGGGCGUAAAGGGCUCGCAGGCGGUUUCUUAAGUCUGAUGUGAAAGCCCCCGGCUCAACCGGGGAGGGUCAUUGGAAACUGGGGAACUUGAGUGCAGAAGAGGAGAGUGGAAUUCCACGUGUAGCGGUGAAAUGCGUAGAGAUGUGGAGGAACACCAGUGGCGAAGGCGACUCUCUGGUCUGUAACUGACGCUGAGGAGCGAAAGCGUGGGGAGCGAACAGGAUUAGAUACCCUGGUAGUCCACGCCGUAAACGAUGAGUGCUAAGUGUUAGGGGGUUU